GCGGAGGAAAAGAAACUAACAAGGAUUCCCCUAGUAACGGCGAGUGAACCGGGAAGAGCUCAAAUUUGAAAUCUGGCGUGCUCAGUGCGUCCGAGUUGUAAUCUAUAGAGGCGUUUUCCGUGCCGGACUGUGUCUAAGUCCCUUGGAACAGGGUAUCAAAGAGGGUGAUAAUCCCGUACUUGACACAAUGACCGGUGCUCUGUGAUACGUCUUCUACGAGUCGAGUUGUUUGGGAAUGCAGCUCAAAAUGGGUGGUGAGUUCCAUCUAAAGCUAAAUAUUGGCGAGAGACCGAUAGCGAACAAGUACCGUGAGGGAAAGAUGAAAAGCACUUUGGAAAGAGAGUUAAACAGUACGUGAAAUUGUUGAAAGGGAAACGAUUGAAGUCAGUCGUGACUGAGAGGCUCAGCCGGUUCUGCCGGUGUAUUCCCCUCAGUCGGGUCAACAUCAGUUUUGUUCGGUGGAUAAGGGCAGCUGGAAGGUGGCACCUCCGGGUGUGUUAUAGCCAGCUGUCGCAUACAUCGAAUGAGACUGAGGAAUGCAGCUCGCCUUUAUGGCCGGGGUUCGCCCACGUCCGAGCUUAGGAUGUUGACAUAAUGGCUUUAAACGACCCGUCUU
rnacentral:rRNA from 1 species